rnacentral:rRNA from 1 species
CGAUGAACCACUUCGGUGGGGAUUAGUGGCGAACGGGUGAGUAACACGUGGGCAAUCUGCCCUGCACUCUGGGACAAGCCCUGGAAACGGGGUCUAAUACCGGAUACUGACCACUACAGGCAUCUGUGGUGUUCGAAAGCUCCGGCGGUGCAGGAUGAGCCCGCGGCCUAUCAGCUUGUUGGUGAGGUAAUGGCUCACCAAGGCGACGACGGGUAGCCGGCCUGAGAGGGCGACCGGCCACACUGGGACUGAGACACGGCCCAGACUCCUACGGGAGGCAGCAGUGGGGAAUAUUGCACAAUGGGCGAAAGCCUGAUGCAGCGACGCCGCGUGAGGGAUGACGGCCUUCGGGUUGUAAACCUCUUUCAGCAGGGAAGAAGCGAAAGUGACGGUACCUGCAGAAGAAGCGCCGGCUAACUACGUGCCAGCAGCCGCGGUAAUACGUAGGGCGCGAGCGUUGUCCGGAAUUAUUGGGCGUAAAGAGCUCGUAGGCGGCUUGUCGCGUCGGUUGUGAAAGCCCGGGGCUUAACCCCGGGUCUGCAGUCGAUACGGGCAGGCUAGAGUUCGGUAGGGGAGAUCGGAAUUCCUGGUGUAGCGGUGAAAUGCGCAGAUAUCAGGAGGAACACCGGUGGCGAAGGCGGAUCUCUGGGCCGAUACUGACGCUGAGGAGCGAAAGCGUGGGGAGCGAACAGGAUUAGAUACCCUGGUAGUCCACGCCGUAAACGGUGGGCACUAGGUGUGGGCAACAUUCCACGUUGUCCGUGCCGCAGCUAACGCAUUAAGUGCCCCGCCUGGGGAGUACG